AGCAGCCGCGGUAAUUCCAGCUCCAAUAGCGUAUAUUAAAGUUGUUGCAGUUAAAAAGCUCGUAGUUGAAUUUCGGGGUCAGUAGAUUGGUCGUGCCACUGGUAUGUACUGGUCUUACUGGCUCCUCCUUCCUGAUGAACCGUAAUGCCAUUAAUUUGGUGUUGCGGGGAGACUGGACUGUUACUUUGAAAAAUUAGAGUGUUUAAAGCAGGCUAACGCUUGAAUACAUUAGCAUGGAAUAAUGAAAUAGGACGUUCGAUCUUAUUUUGUUGGUUUCUAAGAUUGACGUAAUGAUUAAUAGGGAUAGUUGGGGGCAUUAGUAUUCAAUUGUCAGAGGUGAAAUUCUUGGAUUUAUUGAAGACUAACUACUGCGAAAGCAUUUGCCAAGGAUGUUUUCAUUAA
rnacentral:sRNA from 1 species